GUCCACGCCGUAAACGAUGAUAACUAGCUGUCCGGGCACUUGGUGCCUGGGUGGCGCAGCUAACGCAUUAAGUUAUCCGCCUGGGGAGUACGGUCGCAAGAUUAAAACUCAAAGGAAUUGACGGGGGCCUGCACAAGCGGUGGAGCAUGUGGUUUAAUUCGAAGCAACGCGCAGAACCUUACCAGCGUUUGACAUGCCUAGUUUGGUUUCCAGAGAUGGAUUCCUUCAGUUCGGCUGGCUAGGACACAGGUGCUGCAUGGCUGUCGU
rnacentral:rRNA from 1 species